rnacentral:rRNA from 1 species
ACUCAAAGGAAUAGACGGGGGCCCGCACAAGCAGCGGAGCGUGUGGUUUAAUUCGAGGCUACACGAAGAACCUUACCUGGGUUUGACAUCCCCUGAAGGCGUAUGAAAGUACGCGGUCCUUCGGGACAGGGAGACAGGUGCUGCAUGGCUGUCGUCAGCUCGUGUCGUGAGAUGUUCGGUUAAGUCCGAAAACGAGCGCAACCCUCGGAGCGUGUUACAAGUGUCACGCUCGACUGCCGGCGGCAAGCCGGAGGAAGGUGGGGAUGAUGUCAAGUCAGCAUGGCCUUUAUAUCCAGGGCUACACACACGCUACAAUGGGCGGUACAGUAGGCAGCGAACCUGUGAGGGGGAGCCAAUCCUGAAAGCCGUUCGUAGUUCGGAUUGCAGGCUGCAACUCGCCUGCAUGAAGCUGGAGUUGCUAGUAACCGUGCAUCAGCAUGGCACGGUGAAUACGUUCCCGGGCCUUGUACACACCGCCCGU